rnacentral:sRNA from 1 species
AUCUGAACAGAAGAAAUAAAGCGGAAGAUGAGUCAAGCUCCAGUCCUGGAAGGCAGAUGUCCUCCCCCGAUGGUGGGCCACCGGGCCAGUCAGACACAGACAGCUCUGUGGAGGAGAGCGACUUCGACACCAUGCCAGACAUUGAGAGUGAUAAAAACAUCAUCCGGACCAAGAUGUUCCUUUACCUGUCAGAUUUGUCCAGGAAGGACCGGAGAAUUGUCAGCAAAAAAUAUAAAAUUUAUUUUUGGAAUAUCAUCACCAUCGCUGUGUUUUAUGCGCUGCCCGUAAUCCAGCUGGUCAUUACCUAUCAGACAUGCCUUCAACAACAUUCUCAGCAAUCUGGGCCACGUGCUUCUGGGCUUCCUCUUCCUGCUGAUAGUCUUGCGCCGCGACAUCCUCCAUCGGAGAGCCCUGGAAGCCAAGGACAUCUUUGCUGUGGAAUACGGGAUUCCCAAACACUUUGGUCUCUUCUACGCUAUGGGCAUUGCAUUGAUGAUGGAAGGGGUGCUCAGUGCUUGCUACCAUGUCUGCCCUAAUUAUUCCAACUUCCAAUUCGACACCUCCUUCAUGUACAUGAUCGCUGGCCUGUGCAUGCUGAAGCUCUAUCAGACCCGCCACCCAGACAUCAAUGCCAGCGCCUACUCCGCCUACGCCUCCUUUGCUGUGGUCAUCAUGGUCACCGUCCUUGGAGUGGUGUUUGGAAAAAAUGACGUGUGGUUCUGGGUCAUCUUCUCUGCAAUCCACGUUCUGGCCUCGCUAGCCCUCAGCACCCAGAUAUAUUAUAUGGGUCGUUUCAAGAUAGAUGUGUCUGACACAGCAGAUUUGGGAAUUUUCCGGCGGGCUGCCAUGGUGUUCUACACAGACUGUAUCCAGCAGUGUAGCCGACCUCUAUAUAUGGAUAGAAUGGUGUUGCUGGUUGUGGGGAAUCUGGUUAACUGGUCCUUCGCCCUCUUUGGAUUGAUAUACCGCCCCAGGGACUUUGCUUCCUACAUGCUGGGCAUCUUCAUCUGUAACCUUUUGCUGUACCUGGCCUUUUACAUCAUCAUGAAGCUCCGCAGCUCUGAAAAGGUCCUCCCAGUCCCGCUCUUCUGCAUCGUGGCCACCGCUGUGAUGUGGGCUGCCGCCCUGUAUUUUUUCUUCCAGAAUCUCAGCAGCUGGGAGAGAACUCCGGCCGAAUCCCGGGAGAAGAACCGCGAGUGCAUUCUGCUGGAUUUCUUCGAUGACCAUGACAUCUGGCACUUCCUCUCUGCUACUGCUCUGUUUUUCUCAUUCUUGGUUUUGUUAACUUUGGAUGAUGACCUUGAUGUGGUUCGGAGAGACCAGAUCCCUGUCUUCUGAACCUCCAACAUUAAGAGAGGGGAGGGAGCAAUCAAUCUUGGUGCUGUUUCACGAGAAUUACAGUGACCACAGCAAAGUAACCACUGCCAGAUGCUCCAUUCACCCUCUGUAGAGCCAACUCUGCAUUCACACA